rnacentral:rRNA from 1 species
UACGUAGGGGCAAGCGUUAUCCGGAUUUAUUGGGUUUAAAGGGUGCGCAGGUUGUUUGAUAAGUCAGUGGUGAAAGUCUGUCGCUUAACGGUAGGAUUGCCAUUGAUACUGUUGGACUUGAAUAUGGAUGAGGUAGGCGGAAUGUGUAGUGUAGCGGUGAAAUGCAUAGAUAUUACACAGAACACCGAUUGCGAAGGCAGCUUACUAAUCCAUCAUUGACGCUGAGGCACGAAAGCGUGGGGAUCAAACAGGAUUAGA